rnacentral:rRNA from 1 species
CCUACGGGAGGCAGCAGUGGGGAAUAUUGCACAAUGGGGGAAACCCUGAUGCAGCGACGCCGCGUGAGUGAAGAAGGAUUUCGGUUUGUAAAGUCCUAUUAGUAGGGAAGAAAAUGACGGUAUCUGACUAAUAAGCCCCGGCUAACUACGUGCCAGCAGCCGCGGUAAUACGUAGGGGGCAAGCGUUACCCGGAUUCACUGGGCGUAAAGGGAGCGUAGGCGGGAUAGCAAGUCUGAAGUGAAAGGCGGUGGCUCAACCAGCGAACUGCAUUGGAAACUGUUAGGAUGGAGUACGGGAGAGGUAAGUGGAAUUCUUGGUGUAGCGGUAAAAUCCGUAGAUAUUAAGAGGAACAC